rnacentral:rRNA from 1 species
UACGUAGGUGGCAAGCGUUGUCCGGAAUUAUUGGGCGUAAAGCGUGCGCAGGCGGCUUCGCAAGUCAGGCGUGAAAUCCCCGGGCUUAACCUGGGAAUGGCGUCUGAAACUACGGAGCUGGAGUGUGGCAGAGGGAGGUAGAAUUCCACGUGUAGCGGUGAAAUGCGUAGAUAUGUGGAGGAAUACCGAUGGCGAAGGCAGCCUCCUGGGCCAACACUGACGCUCAUGCACGAAAGCGUGGGGAGCAAACAGG